CAUUAAAGAGUUCUAUAACUCCCAAACCCAUGUGAACAUACCUAACGUUGCCUCGGCAGGUCGCACCUACCUUGUAGCACCCUACCCUGUAGGGCCUACCCGGGAGGUGCGGGUAAGCCUGCCGGCGGCCCACCAAACUCUGUUUGAUAUUGAAUUCUGAACCUAUAACUAAAUAAGUUAAAACUUUCAACAACGGAUCUCUUGGUUCUGGCAUCGAUGAAGAACGCAGCGAAAUGCGAUAAGUAAUGUGAAUUGCAGAAUUCAGUGAAUCAUCGAAUCUUUGAACGCAUAUUGCGCCCAUUAGUAUUCUAGUGGGCAGGACCGUUCGAGCGUCAUUUCAACCCUUAAGCCUUCGUUGCUUAGUGUUGGGAGCCUACGGCAACGUAGCUCCUCAAAGUUAGUGGCGGAGUUGGUUCACACUCUAGACGUAGUAAUUUUUUAUCUCGCCUAUUAGUUGGACUAAUCCCCUGCCGUAAAACCCCCAAUUUAUCAAGGUUGACCUCGAAUCGGUUCAGACAAACUCGCUAAAUUGAAGCAUCUUAGUCAGCGAAGGAAAAGAAACCAACAGGGAUUGCCCUAGUAACGGCGAGUGAAGCGGCAACAGCUCAAAUUUGAAAUCUGGCCCUCGGGUCCGAGUUGUAAUUUGUAGAGGAUGCUUUUGGCGCGGUGCCUUCCGAGUUCCCUAAAUUU
rnacentral:rRNA from 1 species